AAUGAGUUAGCCAGAAAUAGCCUAACAAAGAGAACUUAAGCUAGGUUCCCCGAAACCAGACGAGCUACCUAUGAACAAUCCACUGGGGUGAACUCAUCUAUGUU
rnacentral:rRNA from 1 species